AUGUUAGUUAUGUCUUGCAGUUUAUUGAUAUAGCUCCGACUUUCUUCCAGACAUCAUUACUGGUAGUCUCUGGUGUCAUGGUUGUUACAUAAUGUUGCCAUGAAAUUCUUUGGGCUUCUAGUAUUCCCCUACGACACUGAGAUCUUCGUUUUUUGAACUCUACAAGAUUCUCCAACGUGACCACCACGGGACCAUCUUUCGCCUAUUGCCAGGUUUAGAUUUAGAUUGUCUUGAUUAGGAGGGACGAGGACUUGUGUGAAGAGUUCCCAAUUUGCUAAUUGGAUUUUAUAUUUAGCUAUCGUUUUUAUUGGAAGAUUGUGACCCCUGACUGUGAUAAUAAUGGGAAAAUGGUCACUAUGAUGUAGAUCAUCUUCCACCUCCCAUUUCAGGCUAGUAUGUAUACCUGGUGAACAUACUGAUACAUCGAUGGAGUCAAAUGUGCCUGAUCCUGCAUUGAAAAAUGUAGCGGAGCCAUCAUUUACAUCAUUUGAUCUGGAGCCCCAAACGGUGUUGUGGGAAUUAAAAUCCCCAACAAGAAUAAAUGGUGGUGGAAGCUGCCCAAUAAUUUUUCGAAUUUCUUCGACAUCAUAAUUUGUAUUGGGAGUGUAAAUAUUACAAAGUGUACACGAUCUACUAAUUUCAAGUUUAACGGCUACAGCCUGGUAAGUUGUAUGUAAUUUAACUUGUUUAUAAGGUGUUCCUUUGUGAAUGAGAAAUGCUACUCCUCCACAGGCUCU